rnacentral:tRNA from 1 species
GCCGGAGUGGCGGAAUUGGCAGACGCGCCAGACUCAAAAUCUGGUGGCCGUUGGGACGGCCGUGUCGGUUCGACUCCGACCUCCGGCACCA